GGGGCGGACGAGGCGGUGGCGGGCUUCGUCACCGGCAAGCGCAAGGCCACCGAGGUAGCCCACGCGGUGUGGAGGAGCAUCGUUCAGAAAGGAGACACGGUGGUCGAUGCCACCUGUGGGAACGGAAAUGAUACGUUUGCUCUGCUUAAGAUGGUGUCCGAUGAAACUGGCGAGGGGCGUGUUUAUGGGAUGGACAUCCAAGAUUCCGCGAUCGAUAGCACCUCCUCUUUUCUGAAAAUGGCCGUCGACAGUCGCGAGCAGAUGGAGCUAGUCAAGUUGUUUACAAAAUGUCACAGUAGAAUGGAGGAAAUUGUUCCAAAAGAUUCUCCUGUCAGGCUUGUAGCAUUCAAUCUGGGCUACCUUCCAGGAGGAGAUAAAACAAUUAUCACAGUACCUGAGACAACUGAGCUGGCACUGCAAGCUGCCAGCAGAAUUGUUAGCUCAGGGGGACUCAUAAGUGUCCUUGUCUACAUUGGGCAUCUGGGUGGAAGGGAUGAACUCGAUAUUGUUGAAUCAUUUGCGUCAAGCUUGCCUGCUGAUACAUGGGUGAGCUGCAAGUUUGAAAUGAUCAACAGGCCAGUUGCUCCAGUACUAGUUCUUCUGCACAAGAAAUGA
rnacentral:rRNA from 1 species